GAAUUGCCUCACGCCAGUGGGGUAGAGCAGCUGGAAUGGGGGCCAGCUGCUCAACAAAAAAAGCGACC
rnacentral:sRNA from 19 species